CCGGUCUGUCCCUGCACGCUCAGCGGUUGCAGGGCGAAGGAAUUGGCCGAACCGCCGAGCAUGGCGUUUCCGCCGAGACCGACGCCCACCGCAGCGCUGGCGUCGACGCCGCGGCGUAAUUGCCGGACAGGUCGCCCAUGCCGAUACGCGCGGUCGGUGCGAACACCGCCCAUGACAACGCGGUCUCAGUCGUGAUGCCGAGAUCGACGCCGAUCUUGGUGAUGC
rnacentral:misc_RNA from 1 species